GACGAACGCUGGCGGCGUGCCUAAUACAUGCAAGUAGAACGCUGAAGGAGGAGCUUGCUUCUCUGGAUGAGUUGCGAACGGGUGAGUAACGCGUAGGUAACCUGCCUGGUAGCGGGGGAUAACUAUUGGAAACGAUAGCUAAUACCGCAUAAUAGUAGAUGUUGCAUGACAUUUGCUUAAAAGGUGCAAUUGCAUCACUACCAGAUGGACCUGCGUUGUAUUAGCUAGUUGGUGAGGUAACGGCUCACCAAGGCGACGAUACAUAGCCGACCUGAGAGGGUGAUCGGCCACACUGGGACUGAGACACGGCCCAGACUCCUACGGGAGGCAGCAGUAGGGAAUCUUCGGCAAUGGACGGAAGUCUGACCGAGCAACGCCGCGUGAGUGAAGAAGGUGUUCGGAUCGUAAAGCUCUGUUGUAAGAGAAGAACGAGUGUGAGAGUGGAAAGUUCACACUGUGACGGUAUCUUACCAGAAAGGGACGGCUAACUACGU
rnacentral:rRNA from 1 species